UCCGGAAAAUCAAGGCUGAGGCGUGAUGACGAGGCACUACGGUGCUGAAGCAACAAAUGCCCUGCUUCCAGGAAAAGCCUCUAAGCAUCAGGUAACAUCAAAUCGUACCCCAAACCGACACAGGUGGUCAGGUAGAGAAUACCAAGGCGCUUGAGAGAACUCGGGUGAAGGAACUAGGCAAAAUGGUGCCGUAACUUCGGGAGAAGGCACGCUGAUAUGUAGGUGAAGUCCCUCGCGGAUGGAGCUGAAAUCAGUCGAAGAUACCAGCUGGCUGCAACUGUUUAUUAAAAACACAGCACUGUGCAAACACGAAAGUGGACGUAUACGGUGUGACGCCUGCCCGGUGCCGGAAGGUUAAUUGAUGGGGUUAGCCGCAAGGCGAAGCUCUUGAUCGAAGCCCCGGUAAACGGCGGCCGUAACUAUAACGGUCCUAAGGUAGCGAAAUUCCUUGUCGGGUAAGUUCCGACCUGCACGAAUGGCGUAAUGAUGGCCAGGCUGUCUCCACCCGAGACUCAGUGAAAUUGAACUCGCUGUGAAGAUGCAGUGUACCCGCGGCAAGACGGAAAGACCCCGUGAACCUUUACUAUAGCUUGACACUGAACAUUGAGCCUUGAUGUGUAGGAUAGGUGGGAGGCUUAGAAGUGUGGACGCCAGUCUGCAUGGAGCCGACCUUGAAAUACCACCCUUUAAUGUUUGAUGUUCUAACGUUGACCCGUAAUCCGGGUUGCGGACAGUGUCUGGUGGGUAGUUUGACUGGGGCGGUCUCCUCCUAAAGAGUAACGGAGGAGCACGAAGGUUGGCUAAUCCUGGUCGGACAUCAGGAGGUUAGUGCAAUGGCAUAAGCCAGCUUGACUGCGAGCGUGACGGCGCGAGCAGGUGCGAAAGCAGGUCAUAGUGAUCCGGUGGUUCUGAAUGGAAGGGCCAUCGCUCAACGGAUAAAAGGUACUCCGGGGAUAACAGGCUGAUACCGCCCAAGAGUUCAUAUCGACGGCGGUGUUUGGCACCUCGAUGUCGGCUCAUCACAUCCUGGGGCUGAAGUAGGUCCCAAGGGUAUGGCUGUUCGCCAUUUAAAGUGGUACGCGAGCUGGGUUUAGAACGUCGUGAGACAGUUCGGUCCCUAUCUGCCGUGGGCGCUGGAGAACUGAGGGGGGCUGCUCCUAGUACGAGAGGACCGGAGUGGACGCAUCACUGGUGUUCGGGUUGUCAUGCCAAUGGCACUGCCCGGUAGCUAAAUGCGGAAGAGAUAAGUGCUGAAAGCAUCUAAGCACGAAACUUGCC
rnacentral:rRNA from 1 species